rnacentral:rRNA from 1 species
CCUACGGGCUGCAGCAGUAGGGAAUCUUCGGCAAUGGACGAAAGUCUGACCGAGCAACGCCGCGUGAGUGAAGAAGGUUUUCGGAUCGUAAAGCUCUGUUGUUAGGGAAGAAGAAGUACCGUUCGAAUAGGGCGGUACGGUGACGGUACCUAACGAGAAAGCCCCGGCUAACUACGUGCCAGCAGCCGCGGUAAUACGUAGGGGGCGAGCGUUGUCCGGAAUUAUUGGGCGUAAAGCGCGCGCAGGCGGUCCCUUAAGUCUGAUGUGAAAGCCCACGGCUCAACCGUGGAGGGUCAUUGGAAACUGGGGGACUUGAGUGCAGAAGAGGAGAGCGGAAUUCCACGUGUAGCGGUGAAAUGCGUAGAGAUGUGGAGGAACACCAGUGGCGAAGGCGGCUCUCUGGUCUGUAACUGACGCUGAGGCGCGAAAGCGUGGGGAGCAAACAGGAUUAGAUACCCGUGUAGUC